rnacentral:rRNA from 1 species
GGUGAACCAGCGGAGGGAUCAUUACAGAGUUAUCCAACUCCCAAACCCAUGUGAACUUAUCUCUUUGUUGCCUCGGCGCAAGCUACCCGGGACCUCGCGCCCCGGGCGGCCCGCCGGCGGACAAACCAAAACUCUUGUUAUCUUAGUUGAUUAUCUGAGUGUCUUAUUUAAUAAGUCAAAACUUUCAACAACGGAUCUCUUGGUUCUGGCAUCGAUGAAGAACGCAGCGAAAUGCGAUAAGUAAUGUGAAUUGCAGAAUUCAGUGAAUCAUCGAAUCUUUGAACGCACAUUGCGCCCAUUAGUAUUCUAGUGGGCAUGCCUGUUCGAGCGUCAUUUCAACCCCUAAGCACAGCUUAUUGUUGGGAACCUACGGCUUCGUAGUUCCUCAAAGACAUUGGCGGAGUGGCAGUGGUCCUCUGAGCGUAGUAAUCUUUUAUCUCGCUUCUGUUAGGUGCUGCCCCCCCGGCCGUAAAACCCCCAAUUUUUUCUGGUUGACCUCGGAUCAGGUAGGAAUACCCGCUGAACUU